AUUGGACGCUGGCGGCAUGCUUUACACAUGCAAGUCGAACGGCAGCGCGGGCUUCGGCCUGGCGGCGAGUGGCGAACGGGUGAGUAAUACAUCGGAACGUGCCCAGUAGUGGGGGAUAGCUCGGCGAAAGCCGGAUUAAUACCGCAUACGACCUGAGGGUGAAAGCGGGGGAUCUUCGGACCUCGCGCUAUUGGAGCGGCCGAUGGCAGAUUAGCUAGUUGGUGGGGUAAAGGCCUACCAAGGCGACGAUCUGUAGCUGGUCUGAGAGGACGACCAGCCACACUGGGACUGAGACACGGCCCAGACUCCUACGGGAGGCAGCAGUGGGGAAUUUUGGACAAUGGGCGAAAGCCUGAUCCAGCAAUGCCGCGUGUGUGAUGAAGGCCUUCGGGUUGUAAAGCACUUUUGGCGGGAACGAAAAGGACUGUGCAAAUACCACGGUUCGAUGACGGUACCCGCAGAAUAAGCACCGGCUAACUACGUG
rnacentral:rRNA from 1 species